rnacentral:tRNA from 2 species
GCCGACGUAGCUCAACGGUAGAGCACAGCUUUCGUAAAGCUGAGGUUGUGAGUUCGAUUCUCACCGUCGGCC